rnacentral:rRNA from 1 species
ACGAACGCUGGCGGCGUGCUUAACACAUGCAAGUCGAACGAAGAGCGAUGGAAGCUUGCUUCUAUCAAUCUUAGUGGCGAACGGGUGAGUAACGCGUAAUCAACCUGCCCUUCAGAGGGGGACAACAGUUGGAAACGACUGCUAAUACCGCAUACGAUCUAAUCUCGGCAUCGAGGAUAGAUGAAAGGUGGCCUCUACAUGUAAGCUAUCACUGAAGGAGGGGAUUGCGUCUGAUUAGCUAGUUGGAGGGGUAACGGCCCACCAAGGCGAUGAUCAGUAGCCGGUCUGAGAAGAUGAACGGCCACAUUGGGACUGAGACACGGCCCCAGACUCCUACGGGGAGGCAGCAGUGGGGAAUUUUCCGCAAUGGACGAAAGUCUGACGGAGCAACGCCGCGUGAGUGAUGACGGCCUUCGGGUUGUAAAGCUCUGUUAAUCGGGACGAAAGGCCUUCUUGCGAAUAGUGAGGAGGAUUGACGGUACCGGAAUAGAAAGCCACGGCUAACUACGUGCCAGCAGCCGCGGUAAUACGUAGGUGGCAAGCGUUGUCCGGAAUUAUUGGGCGUAAAGCGCGCGCAGGCGGAUCAGUCAGUCUGUCUUAAAAGUUCGGGGCUUAACCCCGUGAUGGGAUGGAAACUGCUGAUCUAGAGUAUCGGAGAGGAAAGUGGAAUUCCUAGUGUAGCGGUGAAAUGCGUAGAUAUUAGGAAGAACACCAGUGGCGAAGGCGACUUUCUGGACGAACACUGACGCUGAGGCGCGAAAGCCAGGGGAGCGAACGGGAUUAGAUACCCCGGUAGUCCUGGCCGUAAACGAUGGGUACUAGGUGUAGGAGGUAUCGACCCCUUCUGUGCCGGAGUUAACGCAAUAAGUACCCCGCCUGGGGAGUACGACCGCAAGGUUGAAACUCAAAGGAAUUGACGGGGGCCCGCACAAGCGGUGGAGUAUGUGGUUUAAUUCGACGCAACGCGAAGAACCUUACCAGGUCUUGACAUUGAUGGGCAGAACUAGAGAUAGUUCCUCUUCUUCGGAAGCCAGAAAACAGGUGGUGCACGGUUGUCGUCAGCUCGUGUCGUGAGAUGUUGGGUUAAGUCCGCCACCGAGCGCAACCCCAUCUUAUGUUGCACCACGUAAUGGUGGAACUAUGAGAGACUGCGCGAAC